rnacentral:rRNA from 1 species
UACGAAGGGGGCAGCGUUGCUCGGAAUCACUGGGCGUUAAGGGCACGUAGGCGGCUUUCUAAGUCAGGGGUGAAAUCCUGGAGCUCAACUCCAGAACUGCCUUUGAUACUGGAGAGCUCGAGUCCGGAAGAGGUGAGUGGAACUCCGAGUGUAGAGGUGAAAUUCGUAGAUAUUCGGAAGAACACCAGUGGCGAAGGCGGCUCACUGGUCCGGUACUGACGCUGAUGUGCGAAAGCGUGGGGAGCAAACAGG